rnacentral:rRNA from 1 species
UACGUAGGGUGCAAGCGUUGUCCGGAAUUAUUGGGCGUAAAGAGCUUGUAGGCGGUUUGUCGCGUCUGCUGUGAAAUUUCGGGGCUCAACCCCGAACUUGCAGUGGGUACGGGCAGACUAGAGUAUGGUAGGGGAGACUGGAAUUCCUGGUGUAGCGGUGAAAUGCGCAGAUAUCAGGAGGAACACCGGUGGCGAAGGCGGGUCUCUGGGCCGUAACUGACGCUGAGGAGCGAAAGCAUGGGUAGCGAACAGG